CCUACGGGAGGCAGCAGUGGGGAAUAUUGCACAAUGGGCGAAAGCCUGAUGCAGCAACGCCGCGUGAGUGAUGAAGGCCUUCGGGUUGUAAACUCCUGCCUUUUGGGACGAAUGCAUGACGGUACCAAAGGAGGAAGCCACGGCUAACUACGUGCCAGCAGCCGCGGUAAU
rnacentral:rRNA from 1 species